GUUGUAGUGGUGUAAUGGCUAGCAUAGAGGCCUGUGGAGCCUCAGGUCCGGGUUCAAAUCCCGGCUACAACCCCA
rnacentral:tRNA from 1 species